GAUGAACGCUGGCGGCGUGCUUAACACAUGCAAGUCGAACGGAAAGGCCCUAGCUUGCUUGGGUACUCGAGUGGCGAACGGGUGAGUAACACGUGGGUGAUCUGCCCUGCACUUUGGGAUAAGCUUGGGAAACUGGGUCUAAUACCGGAUAGGACCCCAUUUUGGAUGGUGUGGUGGGAAGUUUUUCGGCGUGGGAGGAUGUCGCGGCCGAUAAGUCUGUUGGUGGUGUAGUGGCCUACCAAGGCGUCGACGGGUAGCCGGCCCGAGGGGGUGGACGGCCACCUUUGGGCCGGAAUGCGGCCCAGAGUCCUACGGGGGGGAGAAGGGGGGAAAAUUUGACCAAGGGCGGCAGCCUGAGGGAGGGAGGCCGGGUGGGGGAAGACGGCCUUUGGGUUGUAAAAUCCUUUGGCUAGGGACGAAGCGUUAUGUGACGGUAACUGGAAAAGAAGCACCGGCUAACUACGUG
rnacentral:rRNA from 1 species